AUGAACGCUGGCGGCUUGCCUCAUACAUGCAAGUCGAGCGAACAGAUGAGGAGCUUGCUCCUCUGACGUUAGCGGCGGACGGGUGAGUAACACGUGGAUAACCUACCUAUAAGACUGGGAUAACUUCGGGAAACCGGAGCUAAUACCGGAUAAUAUAUUGAACCGCAUGGUUCUAUAGUGAAAGACGGUUUUGCUGUCACUUAUAGAUGGAUCCGCGCCGCAUUAUCUAGUUGGUAAGGUAACGGCUUACCAAGGCAACGAUGCGUAGCCGACCUGAGAGGGUGAUCGGCCACACUGGAACUGAGACACGGUCCAGACUCCUACGGGAGGCAGCAGUAGGGAAUCUUCCGCAAUGGGCGAAAGCUUGACGGAGCAACGCCGCGUGAGAGAUGAAGGUCUUCGGAUCGUAAAACUCUGUUAUUAGGGAAGAACAAAUGUGUAAGUAACUAUGCACGUCUUGACGGUACCUAAUCAGAAAGCCACGGCUAACUACGUG
rnacentral:rRNA from 1 species